AGUGAACGCUGGCGGCAGGCCUAACACAUGCAAGUCGAGCGGCAGCGCGUCCGACCACCCUCGGGUGGUCGGAUGGCGGCGAGCGGCGGACGGGUGAGGAAUGCAUCGGAAUCUGCCUCGUUGUGGGGGAUAACGUAGGGAAACUUACGCUAAUACCGCAUACGACCUACGGGUGAAAGUGGGGGACCUUCGGGCCUCACGCGAUGAGAUGAGCCGAUGCCGGAUUAGCUAGUUGGCGGGGUAAAGGCCCACCAAGGCGACGAUCCGUAGCUGGUCUGAGAGGAUGAUCAGCCACACUGGAACUGAGACACGGUCCAGACUCCUACGGGAGGCAGCAGUGGGGGAAUAUUGGACAAUGGGGGGCAACCCUGAUCCAGCCAUGCCGCGUGUGUGAAGAAGGCC
rnacentral:rRNA from 1 species